CUCUGUUUCGAAAGAUUCAGGGCAAAAGGAG
rnacentral:ncRNA from 1 species